rfam:Sorghum bicolor cultivar BTx623 chromosome 9, whole genome shotgun sequence.
GUUGUCGUAUUCACUUCAAUCUAUGUGCAUGUUGGUGUGGAUUAGGGUGGAAUUUAGUUCAAAUUCCACUCCAAUCUACCUCAACACAUGUGGAUUGAUGUGAAUCCACU